GACGAACGCUGGCGGCGUGCCUAAUACGUGCAAGUCGAACGCACUCUCGUUUAGAUUGAAGGAGCUUGCUCCUGAUUGAUAAACAUUUGAGUGAGUGGCGGACGGGUGAGUAACACGUGGGUAACCUGCCCUAAAGUGGGGGAUAACAUUUGGAAACAGAUGCUAAUACCGCAUAAAACCUAACACCGCAUGGUGUAGGGUUGAAAGAUGGUUUCGGCUAUCACUUUAGGAUGGACCCGCGGUGCAUUAGUUAGUUGGUGAGGUAAAGGCUCACCAAGACCGUGAUGCAUAGCCGACCUGAGAGGGUAAUCGGCCACACUGGGACUGAGACACGGCCCAGACUCCUACGGGAGGCAGCAGUAGGGAAUCUUCCACAAUGGACGAAAGUCUGAUGGAGCAACGCCGCGUGAGUGAAGAAGGUUUUCGGAUCGUAAAACUCUGUUGUUGGAGAAGAAUGUAUCUGAUAGUAACUGACCAGGUAGUGACGGUAUCCAACCAGAAAGCCACGGCUAACUACGUGCCAGCAGCCGCGGUAAUACGUAGGUGGCAAGCGUUGUCCGGAUUUAUUGGGCGUAAAGCGAGCGCAGGCGGUUUCUUAAGUCUGAUGUGAAAGCCUUCGGCUCAACCGAAGAAGUGCAUCGGAAACUGGGAAACUUGAGUGCAGAAGAGGACAGUGGAACUCCAUGUGUAGCGGUGAAAUGC
rnacentral:rRNA from 1 species